rnacentral:rRNA from 1 species
UACGAAGGGGGCUAGCGUUGCUCGGAAUCACUGGGCGUAAAGCGCACGUAGGCGGAUUGCUACGUCAGGGGUGAAAUCCUGGAGCUCAACUCCAGAACUGCCUUUGAUACUGGCGAUCUCGAGUCCGGGAGAGGUGAGUGGAACUGCGAGUGUAGAGGUGAAAUUCGUAGAUAUUCGCAAGAACACCAGUGGCGAAGGCGGCUCACUGGCCCGGUACUGACGCUGAGGUGCGAAAGCGUGGGGAGCAAACAGG